rnacentral:rRNA from 1 species
CAAUAGCGUAUAUUAAAGUUGUUGCAGUUAAAAAGCUCGUAGUUGGAUUUCUGAUCGAGACAUCAGGUCGGGUCCGAGAGGAUCAUGUACUUUGAUUUUGUUUUGAUCAUCCUUGGGGAAAGCAUUUCUGGCAUUCAGUUGUCGGGAUUGGGAUCCUCAUCGUUUACUGUGAAAAAAUUAGAGUGUUCAAAGCAGGCCUCGGCCUCUGAAUACAUUAGCAUGGAAUAAUAAGAUAGGACUUUGGUGGUCUAUUUUGUUGGUUUGCACGCCAAAGUAAUGAUUAAUAGGGAUAGUUGGGGGUAUUCGUAUUCAAUUGUCAGAGGUGAAAUUCUUGGAUUUAUGGAAGACGAACUACUGCGAAAGCAUUUACCAAGGAUGUUUUCAUUAA